GUGAUCUACGGGGCUGCGAACAGCUCUACCAUACAGGCUACAGAGGAGAGAUUUCUCUUAGGUGAAGAUAUGACCGGGUGGUGCUGGCCCAAAGGACUCUUGCAUGGAGGGGAGGGGGUUUAAAACCCUUGCCCAAAACAGCUGAUUACACCCACACUUGAAUAACAGCAAGUGGAUUUCCAGGAGCUCCACUGGCCAGAGAGGCAGCUGAUGCCUUGAAGUUUGGGAUAUAUAAGCCUGCAGGAAGUAAGACAACAAAGGCAAGAUAUCUGGGGGGAGAAGAGUUCCCUUUUCUUGACGCUUAGCUUUUGGGAUAGCUGAAGUCAUUGAAAACGGGAUCCGAAACUUUUCUCCUCUUGAUUCAGUCCAGGCUGACAGAGCGAGGCAGAGGCCGAGAAGUCGUGGGGUUCCAUAACAGGCCACCCUUUAUAUUGGCAGAGGAUUAUCUGGGCCGGUCGGUGGUAAACGGGAGUCGGGGGAUCAAACCUCUACCAAAUUCUGGUGCUUGGUUAUUUCCAUCGUCAUUAAAGCAGAGGAAGAAAAGCAUCCCAGGCAGGACCGUGCUGACUACGCCUCUCCCAGCCAAGGGCACACAGGCCGGACCCAUUUCCCAGCUCACCUCGCUCUGGACGGGGCCGAGGGUGGGAAGAGACCCCUGCUCACCCCUUCAGCGGCCUCCCGCUGGACUCAUGGUCGCCUGCAGGCGGGAAGGCCGCCAGUUGGCUUAAUCGCAGAGCUGGCUGGGAAGUCAAGUUAAGCUGUUCUCAGCUGGAAGGGGCUUCACCAGCCAACAUGCUGCGCCACGGGACGGCUCCAGAAAUCGCAAGAGGCAGAGCAGAUGGCCUAUAAACCACGGAAGGCGUGACACAGGGCUGCUCGCAACAAUUCUCUGUAGGUCGUGGGCGCCUUGUUUGCCGUGUGCUGUUUCAUUUAAAACAUGAACAACCCCC